UGAGAAAACUUGCCCUUCAACCCCUGAAAAAACAAAGAAAAAAGCAAAUUGAUUUGUCCUCAGUGCAAAAAGCAUCUUUUGAAGAACUAUUUCCAAAUGUCAGCAAUUAUGUUAAUUCAAAUGAAAUUGUUCCUGUGUCAAGUUUGCAGGAAAAUUCUUCAAAUGAGUUUCCUGCAAAUGCAUCAGAAAUAUGUUGUAUUAUUAGAACAUCACCAGGAACUAGACAAGUGAAAAAUAAAGGUGUUAUUGUAAAGAAGAAGAAAUAUUCUCUUCCUAAGGAUACCCCUCAAGAUAUCAUAAUAAAAAUGGCAUGAAAAAACAGCUGUGGCUGAAUUUUCACCACUUUGAAGACAGGAGUGUGAAGUCAAAGUCUAUAAAGCAGAAUGUCUGCCUGAAAUUAUAUGAAAUUAAAAAUUAAAAAUUCUCC
rnacentral:lncRNA from 1 species